rnacentral:pre_miRNA from 1 species
AGUGUAAUUUCUGGAUCAUUUGGUAAGGAUAUGUUUAGCUUUGUAACAAGCUAUCAACCUGUCUUUCAAAGUGGCUAUACCAUUUUGUAUUACCACCAGCAGU